rnacentral:rRNA from 1 species
UACAGAGGUGCCAAGCGUUUAGGCGGAAUCACUGGGCUUAAAGCGUGUGUAGGCGGACGCCUAAGUGUCUUGUGAAAUCCCACGGCUCACCCGUGGAACUGCUGGGCAUACUGGGCGUCUUGGGCCAACUAGGGGCAGCCGGAACAAGCGGUGGAGCGGUGAAAUGCGUAGAUAUCGCUUGGAACGCCGAAGGUGAAAACAGGCUGCUGGGGUUGCGCCGACGCUGAGACACGAAAGCCAGGGGAGCAAACGGG